AUUGAACACUGGCGGCAGGCUUAACACAUGCAAGUCGAACGGUCCUUCGGGAUAGUGGCGGACGGGUGAGUAACACGUGGGAACGUACCCUUAGGUUCGGAACAACACAGGGAAACUUGUGCUAAUACCGGAUAAGCCAUUCGGGGGAAAGAUUUAUCGCCUUUGGAGCGGCCCGCGUCUGAUUAGCUUGUUGGUGAGGUAAUGGCUCACCAAGGCUACGAUCAGUAGCUGGUCUGAGAGGAUGGCCAGCCACACUGGGACUGAGACACGGCCCAGACUCCUACGGGAGGCAGCAGUGGGGAAUCUUGCGCAAUGGGCGAAAGCCUGACGCAGCCAUGCCGCGUGGAUGAUGAAGGUCUUAGGAUUGUAAAAUCCUUUCACCGGGGACGAUAAUGACGGUACCCGGAGAAGAAGCCCCGGCUAACUUCGUGCCAGCCGCCGCAGUAAAAC
rnacentral:rRNA from 1 species